rnacentral:rRNA from 1 species
GAUGAACGCUAGCUACAGGCUUAACACAUGCAAGUCGAGGGGAAACGGCAUUAAGUGCUUGCACUUUUUGGACGUCGACCGGCGCACGGGUGAGUAACGCGUAUCCAACCUUCCCAUGACUAAGGGAUAACCUGCCGAAAGGCAGACUAAUACCUUAUGGUCUUCACUGACGGCAUCAGAUGUGAAGUAAAGAUUUAUCGGUCAUGGAUGGGGAUGCGUCUGAUUAGCUUGUUGGCGGGGUAACGGCCCACCAAGGCAACGAUCAGUAGGGGUUCUGAGAGGAAGGUCCCCCACAUUGGAACUGAGACACGGUCCAAACUCCUACGGGAGGCAGCAGUGAGGAAUAUUGGUCAAUGGGCGAGAGCCUGAACCAGCCAAGUAGCGUGCAGGAAGACGGCCCUAUGGGUUGUAAACUGCUUUUGUAUGGGGAUAAAGUCAAUCACGUGUGAUUGUUUGCAGGUACCAUACGAAUAAGGACCGGCUAAUUCCGUGCCAGCAGCCGCGGUAAUACGGAAGGUCCGGGCGUUAUCCGGAUUUAUUGGGUUUAAAGGGAGCGUAGGCUGGAGAUUAAGUGUGUUGUGAAAUGUAGACGCUCAACGUCUGACUUGCAGCGCAUACUGGUUUCCUUGAGUACGCACAACGUUGGCGGAAUUCGUCGUAUAGCGGUGAAAUGCUUAGAUAUGACGAAGAACUCCGAUUGCGAAGGCAGCUGACGGGAGCGCAACUGACGCUGAAGCUCGAAGGUGCGGGUAUCGAACAGG